GUAGAAAAUCAAAAUCGAUUAACAGCCUUAGUAAGUCGAAUAAGUCAGAGCAAUUCAGAAAGAGAUUCUGAUUUAAUAAAAUAUGCACAUUUAGCACAAGUUCUUCUCAUUCUUAGUGACAAUGUAGAUUCAAUUUCUCAAGAAGUUGUGAAAUUACAAAAUGUAUUAGGUUUUAUCAAGGUUUCGGUUGCACAUCAUUCAGUUAUAAGCUUAAGUACAAUUAAAUAUUUAGUUAGUAGGUUAACCAGUCUUUAUGGUACUGGUAAAAUUAUAUCUUUAGAUGAUAGAGAGUAUUAUGAUAUUAUAGGAUUAGGUUCGUAUUAUGUAAGAAACGAAAUAUUCAUAGUUUAUAAAUUUCCUAUAAUUCUAACCCAAGUAUAUGAUAUGUAUAAAUUAUCCAUUGUACCCAACAAGAAUCAUGAGAUCCUAAUUCCUUAUCAUCCAUUCCUGGCAAUAAGCUUGAACGAGUACAGGUACAUAGAGGCUGAAUGCCCGAAGACCAGCAAGGGUUAUCUAUGUGCCGAUAUUAGAAGCUUACAGCGUGAACCUUCAAAUCAACCAGAUUGUAUCCAACAACUUAUAACCGCCCAAAAUAGAAGCAGGCCAAGCAAUUCAAGUUAUGGAUUUACCUAAAGAAGAACCCUAUGACUCAAGACCAUCUCCGCAUUAUGAAUUGAAGUCCACAAAACUGGAUCACCUACAUCAUGCAAGUGCAAAGGUUUCAUCUCAAACACCUAUCACUUUACCUCCGAGUUCGGACCACGGAAGUAUUUACCACACAACCAUACCCAUAUACACCAUAUUGGUUGGAACCUGCGGACUGAGUAUAAUCAUCAUAGUUUAUCGUAAAAUACAGCGCACGAAGACAUUGCAGAUAAGAAGCACAGCCGAAAUUCAGAGUUCUUCAUCCGAUGACCUCCCGGCGCAAUUCACAGCCAAGGUGUUCCAUAAGCGCCGAUCUGAUGGGGGAGGUGUUACGCAGGCGAAGCCAGCGGCUGAUACAUAGUGAGCCAGCGCAACAUGCAUUCCCAUUCCCACGUACGAAUACGACCCGUAUAGCUGACGCGGCGUAAUACCAGAACCCGCGCGAUGUGGGAAUCGUAAUAUUAAGUUAGAAUAUUCUCAUCCUUAGAGAUAAGCACUAGUUUUUAGUCUUUUCAUUUAAAUGUAACUUUGAAUAUAAUUAUUAUAAGGAUAUUAUC